rnacentral:lncRNA from 1 species
ACUGAACUAUGCCUGAACUGUGAAAGAAGCACUGCGCUAUAAAUAAAGCGCGUUUUACUGUCCAAAGACUUUAAACCUAGUUCGGAGCAUGUUAAUGUCUGUCUAAGCCAUCUAACUUUGCUUACUCUCUACUCCAAACAAGUAGAGGGUGGACUGACACAGUGUAUUUGGAAACACUAAUAUAUGGUGAUCUGCUGUGCAGAUAGACAGUGGUAGGGCUUCGGAGGGUGCUUUGAUUUUGAGAGGUCAGUGGGUGGACCAUAGCACACUACGAGAUUUCUGGAGAUAAGAAGGAACUCCUGAAUUUCGUUGUGGAGCUACAUCAUGUAUGCUUUAAUACACACAUAUUUUGCUAUGUCACCUAGGUUGAUCUGUAACUAAUUUGGCAGGGAAAGGUGUUUUGUUUCUACAAAUAUUAAGGAAAAUUCAUCAGCAUUUUUAAAGCAGAUAGUUCUAAAGUUGACACUUACUUUAAGCGGUUAAAAAUAUCAGCUUGGGUCAAAUAUGGAACACAAUGGCAUUUUUUUUCUUCCAAAACGAGCACUUCCAGCCAAUUCUUUUCUUUAAUGUUUUGUAGUAUUUUAAUGGGAGGUCAUUUUAAAAGGUUUUCAUUUUUUCAUUCAUGUGAAAACAGCAUUUCAAAGGGAGUUUCUCAGAGACAUCCAAGGCGUGAUCCAAAGCCCAAAUCCAGAUGCGUGCCUAGGGAAGCACUCAGGGCGGGCGGGAGGUCUCCUGCGGUGCCCUGGCUCCUUCCCUGCUCUCAUUAGAAACAUCUGCACUCGCUCUGCAGAGAGCCACCCAGGCACCCACCCACACACCGCAGGUGCAGGGCACUCACCUCCGCGCUCAACAGGGCUUAAGCAAAAGCCAUAGCAACCAGCUAUACUGCUGUGCCUUUAGGACAAAUGUCUGGGGUUUAUCCCAGCAGAACAAAUGCAGCUAACUAGAUUUGCCGUUUAUUCAGCAGCUGAUCUCAGAGCAGUUGAGAGAGGCAGCAAAGGCGUGUGCACAGUUAAUUUCUUCUACAGGUGGCACAGCUCAAGGCAGGUGGCCAGUGGGGACUCUGCGAGUUUGUGCCACUGGAAAGGAACUCAGCAGCUUCAUUUCCCCCUUUCAUCUCUGGACAUCUGUCUGGGUUCAAAGAUUGUUGUGGAUCUGAAGCAAGAGGAUUUCAGUACGGUUUUUCAGGCCGUGGCCACGAGCGUGGGCAGGCUGCGCAUAUGAGCCGAGAGGUUUCGGCACCAGGAGUUGCCUCUGUCCUCCUGUUUAAUGAGGUUUAUUCACUGGAGGAUGGCGGAAGGCUGUGGAUUUGAAAACAAGCCUUAGCAAAGGAGGAGGCAGAAAGACCAGAAAGCAGAGGAUCUGCCAGGUUCCCAUUCCGCUCAGCUUUGCUGCUAAACUCCAGUUUUCAGGUUGUGGGAAAAGGAAAGUCUCUGCCUUUGUAUAUGUUAAACACCAGGUGUGCAGGGUUGGGAAGUGGGAGUGGAGAGCUGGCUGGAGAAUUUUUUUGCUGUGGAUUUGGACUUUUGUUUCCCAGGAGCAGCGAGUGCAGUCACAGAGCUCUCGCAAGAGGUGGUACGAGUGCAUCCUCCAUUUGAAGGCAUCUGUUCAGCACGGCACAACAUUCAGUGCAAAAAAUAAAGCCUUGAGAAACAGUUUGUUAAAGAAACA